rnacentral:rRNA from 1 species
GAUCCUGGCUCAGGACGAACGCUGGCGGCGUGCUUAACACAUGCAAGUCGAACGGAGUACCCUUGAUUGAGGUUUCGGCCAAAUGAUAGGAAUGCUUAGUGGCGGACUGGUGAGUAACGCGUGAGGAACCUGCCUUUCAGAGGGGGACAACAGUUGGAAACGACUGCUAAUACCGCAUGACGCAUUUUGAUCGCAUGGUCGAAAUGCCAAAGAUUUAUCGCUGAAAGAUGGCCUCGCG